rnacentral:rRNA from 1 species
GACGAACCGAGCGAACGUUGUUCGGAAUCACUGGGCUUAAAGGGCGCGUAGGCGGGUGCUCAAGUCCGGGGUGAAAUCCUCCAGUUCAACUGGAGAACUGCCUCGGAUACUGGGUGCCUCGAGGGUGGCAGGGGUAUGCGGAACUAUCGGUGGAGCGGUGAAAUGCGUUGAUAUCGAUAGGAACUCCGGUGGCGAAGGCGGCAUACUGGUCCACUUCUGACGCUGAGGCGCGAAAGCCAGGGAGCAAAGCGGG